AGGUAUUAAUAUAAAACCAUUGUACAAUGGCGGUCACCGUAAAUUAGAGAAACUCGCUUUGUAAUCGUAAACACCCGAUAACUUUCACUAUAUUGAUAAUUUUAUAGCUUAUAUACCGCCGUUAAAAAUUAACAACAAAACAAUUUAUAAUCUCUCACAAUCUCAAAUCAGGUCAAGGUGUAGUUAAUAUUAAAGAAAAAGUAAGUUACAUUAAAAAAGAUUUAAGAAAGAAAGUAAAAAUAUAAACAGAAAAAGAAUUUAUAUGUACAUUAUUAGUUAAAAACUAGUAUAGAACAGAA
rnacentral:rRNA from 1 species